rnacentral:lncRNA from 1 species
CCCAAACCGACCAGUCUCCAAACCCUGAGUGCACUCUGACGUUUGCACCAGUGCUAUCCCACGCUCCUUUCUUCCUCUCUGCCUGGAAUGCCCUCUAUCACCUGCUUCCACAACCCAUCACCACUUCUGCAUGAUGAACACCACUCAUUAUUUCAAUACCCAACUCAAAUACUACCUCCUCUGGGAAGCCUUCCUAAACUCCCAAGGACAUUAACUUCUCUCUGUUCUCAGCUUGUCUAGGACACUGCACUUAUGGUUCAUGUGAUACACUGAUUAAUAGUCUCUGUUCACAGGUUUGUCCAAUCCACUCAAUUGUGAGCUGUCUUGGUGAAACAUUGUAUUUUCCCCCUCGCCCUGUAAUACAGAAUGUACAUUCACUUAACAUUUGUUGAACAAAUGAGUGAGCAGAAGAAACACUGAAAUGUUUUCAAAGACCUUGGUUCUCAUCCUUUUUUCAUCUACACGAGCCCUCCACCCAAUCUUGUGAUGAUUUCCGAUGAAGCCACACAUGUUGUCUUCGCAGGCUCUGUCGACACAUGGAGAAGAAUGACAAGCAAAGCUAUUGUGCUCUUCAUUACAAAGUGCAUUUCACAUUACAUACUUUUGCCACCACUUCAACCACAGGCAUCCCUCUAUCCCCAUACUGAAAGUGGCCUCGGAGAUUUGGAAAAGAGCAAACUGAGUAAGUUAACUUAGAUAACUGAGUCAUGUUUGAAAUAGUUAAGGCUUUUGUUUAUUAACAUUUUAUUUAUAAAGCCUUCAUGGCUCCUUCUUCCACUCAGUCAAGGAAAUGAACCCAUUUCAUCCAGAAAUUCAAUCAGUUCAUCUACCCUUCAAAUCUAAAGUGCCAGUGAGUUUGAUUAACCUGGUUCCCGAGCUGGAAGAUCAGCCUGUUUGGCUUUGUUGCUGGCUGCCCCAGGAAGAAUAAUUUCACUGGAAAAAGGAUGAGCAAGGCCACCAAUCAUGAAGGCAAAAACAGAGCAAAGGCUGAAAAACUAGGAGAAGGAGAAUAUCAGUUUCUAAUGGACCAGCCCAGAAGUCACUUAAGAACAAGAAGGGGGUGCAGAGAUGGCAUGGGUUACUCCAACAAGGACUGGGAAAUGUGUGGCCUAUGCAUUCUAAAUUAUACAACAUCAUCUUUAAAGUGCACUUCUCACAAUCCCAGGGGUAAGGCAAACCUUAGGGAGACUGAGAUAGGGCUGGAGAAAAGCACUUUCUCCCUAAAGCACAUUCUACAAAAAUGGCACCCUUUAAACAAAUUUAAAGUAAUAUAAGAACAGGACAGUAGGGAAGAUGGUGGUAAAAAGUCAGUGAAGGAAGCAACGGGAAAUAUGCACAAGUGAAAUAUCAGAUGUGAAACCAUGAGAUGCUUUGAAGACAAAGUCACAGGAGAACAUCUAUUUUAUGCACUCACCAGUGUAGGUCCCACCUCCUCCACACAUGCUAAGUUUGUUUCAUCAGAUGACUGCACCUCUGAGGGGAGGUGGUCGUCAAUCCAGGAGAAUUGCCAGAGGUAACUUGCUUGGCAAUCAAUGUCCUUCAAAGGUUCAAAACUGUUUUUUCCUUUUUAUUGGUUUUUGAAACUUCACAUACUUGAAAUUAGGCUGUUUACUUAUCUGUCUGAAUACACAAAUAUACAAAGUUGUUUAACAAAUAUUUAUUUAACAACUACUUCAGGGUGUAAGAUUUAAAAAGCAUUUAUUGGUAACUGGGAUAGGGGAAAGGGACAAGGUUAUAAAAGAAAUAGAAACCUUGUUCUCUACCCUUAAGAGUUCAAAAUCUGGUUGGAGAGACAAAAAUAAACAAAAGUAAUUACAUCA